rfam:Camelus ferus unplaced genomic scaffold scaffold513, whole genome shotgun sequence.
GGGGGUAUAGCUCAGUGGUAGAGCACACGCUUGGUGUGCACAAGGUCCUGGGUUCAACCCCCAGUGCCUCCG